AAUUAGCCCCGAUUGCAGCGAAAAUCCUUUUUUGCCAUUUUUCAUGGCAUAAAAGAUUGCAGCGAAAAGCGGGACAAAAC
rnacentral:sRNA from 1 species